AAGGAACCGAUCACCUCAGACAGACACCCUCCAGGAGAAGGGAUCCCGGCUGAAGCUUCCCCUUCCUUACAGGAAAACCUAUUCCAGGAACUCCAGGGCAUGGGAGAGUUGUCGUCUCUGUCAGACAAGAGCAGAUGCAGCAGCUGCAAGGAACCGUUUUAUAGAGAGAAUCCAGACAACUUUUUGUUCACCGCUACCAGCCUUCAGUCCUGCAGAGAUAGAGGAGGAGAUAAAGGUCCUGCAGGAUGUCCCCUUCCUUCUGAGCCAGUUUGUGGAAGCUGAG